ensembl:lncRNA
AGGGGAAGUGAUGAAGCUGAAGGCGUCUCUCUGCUCAGACUGAUGUUCAGUCGUCAUCCAGACACCAUGAAGACUCCGUGUGUCUCUCUGCUCCUCGGUGUGUGUGUGCUGCUGCUGUCUGCACCGACUGUUUCUGCAGCUCCUCCUCCCUGUGAGUCUGUGCUCAGACUCUUCUGCCAUCUAGUGGUCUUCUGUCCGUACUGCAUCUCCACCGGUCUGCUGCUGUCCAUCUGCUGGAGCAGGAAGACACCGAACAAACCAGCCGUCUCCAUGGAGAUGACCCAGCGUGAUGGAGGAGGUCAGGGACUGGCUGAAGAUGGUGAUGAUGUCACUGCUGAUGUCACCACUGAGCAUGCCUUCUGAGCUGCAGACUGACAGCAUCUGCAGUAUUUCUGUAUCUUGGUUCCUCUUUUGCUGUGUUGGAGUAAAGUUCUAGUGUUUGCUGUCAGUAUGGAUUAGUUAGGUUUGAGUUUAUCGCUUCAUCCCUGUUUCCUGUGUAAGUCUGUCCUCUGUGCAUGUCUCUUAAGUCAUGUGUCCUCUGUACAUUCUCCCAGUCCAUCAUGUGCGUCUCCUCCCGUUGUCUUCCAAGUUCGUCUAGUUCUUCCCUCCCGUCUCCUGUGUCAUAUUGUGUGAAUUAGUGUUUCCUGUUUUACUUUGACAGUGCCACGUCCUGUGUUCAGUGUGUAUAGCUUUGCUUCCUGUGUGUCGUCAGGUCCACUCUCCCUAAUGACCCUUGUGUGCUUAUGUUGUGUCUGUUUUCCUCUGUCAGGUUGCCUGUUUCCUGUGUCUCUCACGUCAUGGUCUAGUUCAUCCUGGUCUCAUGUUCCAGUUUUCCUUGUUUUUUGCUUUAUUUUCCCCAG